GUAAGUCAGACAAUCGCGUGUGCAUGCGCCGAAAGGCCGCACAUGAGGAAAGUCCGGGCUCCACAGGGCAGGAUUGUGGGUAACGCCCACCGAAGGCGACUUUAGGGACAGUGCAACAGAGAGAUACCGCCGGCUUUUGCCGGUAAGGGUGGAAAGGCGGGGUAAGAGCCCACCGGCAUCCGGGUGACCGGGUGGCCAUGUAAACCCAAUCUGGAGCAACACCGCAUGGAACGGUCCGGGCAACCGGACGGCGCUUGCCCGGCGCAUGUUCAGGUAGGUGGCAAGAGCUGCAUGGCAACGUGCGGCCACAGAUAGAUGAUUGUCAAAUACAGAACCCGGCUUACAGACUUGGUCG
rnacentral:RNase_P_RNA from 1 species